AAAGUAUUUUAGCAUGAUGACAUUUAUUUAAAAAUAUUAAAAUACAGAGUAAUUAAAAUACAUCAUUUAAUUUGUUACUGUGUGGUUUGUAAAAUAAAAUACAAGUAGUUGGUGCUUUUACAAGCACCAUAGUUGGAUUAUAUAUAUAUAUAUAGAGAGAGUUGAGCUGGAAUACUAUCGAUAGCAAAUGGGCUCCGUUGCCAUUCAUUUGUUUUCGAUGAUGGAGCCUCCAAAUCGACGAUCGGCACCGUUGAAAAUGAUCUAUACCACUUGAAGUAUUUAGAAAGCAAAUUUCAUACUUUUCCGAUAUUGUUUUCUUGCCCAUCAAGUGGGCGUAAAAAUGAAUGGCUGAAAAUGAAUAUCCUCUAAAAAGUGAUGAUAGAAAUUUUGUAAUCAUGAUCAAGAGUAUAGAUCUUGUUCUAAAUAGUUUAAAAAAUUUUCUAACCAAAAUUCAAUUGAUUUGGAUAGCUUUACACCGUUAAACGAGAAAACCCUUCAUAUCAACCAUUAAAAUUACUAAUUUUGAAACCCUUUGAUCAUUAGGUAAAUGAUGUCGACAAGAUUUGAAAUUUAAUUUUUAAAUACUUCAAGUGAUAUAGAUCAUGUUCAACGGUGCCGAUUGUCGAUUUGAAAGCUUCAUCAUCGAAAACAAAUGGAUGACAACGGAGCCCGUUUGCUACUGAUAGCAUUCCAGCUCAACUCUAUAUAUAUGAAAAAUUAAGAUAGAAAACUUAGAGCAAUAAGUAGAACUUUUUUGGUUGUAUGAAAUUAAAACUUAUGCAAUUUUUUCUUUUGAAAUAAAGUGAUUUUUUUUUUAAUUCGAGAUACCAAAGCAUAUAAAUUUGUGUUCGUUCAAAUAACUCAG
rnacentral:lncRNA from 1 species